UCUGCCAUUCAAGAGGGAAGAAAAAAAAAAUCCUCAUUGAUAGUUUGACAAAUAAAAAUACAAGUGGCUUUGGGGGAAAUUUUUUUUUUUUUUAAGCACUCUCUGUGGAUUCUAGGUAGCCAACACCAAGGUAUACUGUCCCCUGCCAGUGGAACGCUGCGUGUCUCCUGCAAAUGACUUUGACAACUGCAUUAACGGAGUAAAACACCCCAGUUCUCAGGGAGAAAAAAAAAGCCCUGUGGUGAAGUCCUGCGAAGGAGGAGGCCUGUUUGCUGAGCCCCUGAGCCUCAUUGCUUUGGAGCAUCCUAAAGGGUGAACUCGUCUGAGAGCAAUCUUAUUUUAAAAAAGAAAAAAAAAAUCCCUUGAGACAGCCUUUCAUUUUUGGGCAGAAGCUAAGGAACUUCUGUGCCAGGAGAUUUUUCUUUUAGGGUUUAGCCACAGUGUUUUGGAAGUGUGAAAAUAUUCCAUUACCAAGAACAUCCCUUGAAGUACAGCGCACAGCUCUGGUCUCCAGUAUGUGGUCGCAAGCCUUGUUAAUUGUGGAGUUAGCCUAGGAGAGAAGAACAUCCUGCCAUGUGGCUCCUACUGCAACGAGUUCCCUUUGCUGUGGAAGUUAGAAGAUUUCCGCGUCCAUCAGCUGAGUGGCCUUGAGCUGCUUGCUCACCAUCUCAGAGUUGUUUCUCUAUGUACAGCCACCUCCCCAUGUUCAGGCACCCCUGGAAACUGUAGAGCAUUGUUCAAGGCUGGUGCUACAUGAAGGAUAUGAGCCAUCCAUCCUGUGAGAUCCUUUCCAAGCCUGGAGUUUGAGCAUCUGGAUCCCCAGAAUCGAACCCCUACUUUCAUAACAAAAAGUGAACCUGAAAACAUCUUGGGAAAUGGGAACUGAGAUAACAAACCUACAGUUCACCAGGAAUUUGCCCAACAUGGCUUACUGUGUGGUGUACGGACAAUAAAGACGAACCGGCCUUGGGUCACAAGGGUUGUUAAAAGACGACCAGCAGCUGUUCCCAUUUCUCAUGAGGCCAGGGGAGGAAAUGGGUUUACACUGGAGUGGGAGGGAUUUAGACUGGCAUAUGAAAGGAUUUCUGACUCAAGAUAAUGCUUUCUCAUGAAUAGAACAAUCACAUCUCCCUCUCCUGUUAUUUAAAAGCACAGAAUCUGGUGUCUUCCAAUGGCAGGUUAGAGACAAGUGGUUCCCAGGGGCCCAGAGCCACAGGAUGCCUCCUUUUAAUAUUUCAAAAAGCCUGGGAUGCAUCUGCCUUUGGCUCAGGGGGUGAUCCCAGGAUCUGGGAUUAAGUCCCACAGUGGGCUCCUUGCAUGGAGCCUGUUUCUCCCUCUGCCUGGGUCUCUGCCUCUCUCUCU
rnacentral:lncRNA from 1 species